rnacentral:rRNA from 1 species
GAUGAACGCUAGCGGCAGGCCUAAUACAUGCAAGCCGAACGGCAAGCUUUGUAGCAAUACGGAGCCUAGAGUGGCGUAAGGGUGCGUAACACGUAUGCAAUCUACCCUCAACAGGAGAAUAGCUCCCCGAAAGGGGAAUUAAUGUUCCAUAGGAUCAUGGUGCGGCAUCGCACAGUGAUUAAACCGCAAGGGGUUGAGGAUGAGCAUGCGCAUGAUUAGUUAGUUGGCGGGGUAACGGCCCACCAAGACGAUGAUCAUUAGGGGAACUGAGAGG